rnacentral:rRNA from 1 species
GACGAACGCUGGCGGCGUGCUUAACACAUGCAAGUCGAACGGAAAGGCCCCUUUGGGGGUACUCGAGUGGCGAACGGGUGAGUAACACGUGCGUAACCUGCCCUUGACUUCGGGAUAACUUCAGGAAACUGGGGCUAAUACCGGAUAGGAAUCCUUUCUGCCUGGUGGGGGUUGGAAAGCUUCGGCGGUUUUGGAUGGACUCGCGGCAUAUCAGCUUGUUGGUGGGGUAGUGGCUUACCAAGGCUUUGACGGGUAGCCGGCCUGAGAGGGCGACCGGCCAAAUUGGGACUGAGAUACGGCCCAGACUCCUACGGGAGGCAGCAGUGGGGAAUAUUGCACAAUGGGCGGAAGCCUGAUGCAGCAACGCCGCGUGCGGGAUGACGGCCUUCGGGUUGUAAACCGCUUUCAGCAGGGGCGAAGCGUUUGUGACGGUACCUGCAGAAGAAGCACCGGCUAACUACGUG